GGUUCAAUCACUAGGUGAAGGCUCAAUUGCUCAUGAUUAAAAAAAAAAUUGGGAGCAUCCCUGUUUUCUUUAGAAUUUUCAUAUAUAUAUAUAUAUAUAUAUAUAUAUAUAUAUAUAUUCUAAAGAAAACAGGGAUGCUCCCAAUUUUUUUUAAUCAUGAGCAAUUGAGCCUGCACCUAGUGAUUGAACC
rnacentral:miRNA from 1 species